AUUGAACGCUGGCGGCAGGCCUAACACAUGCAAGUCGAAUGGUAACAGGAAACAGCUUGCUGUUUCGCUGACGAGUGGCGGACGGGUGUGUAAUGUCUGGGAAACUGCCUGAUGGAGGGGGAUAACUACUGGAAACGGUAGCUAAUACCGCAUAACGUCGCAAGACCAAAGAGGGGGACCUUCGGGCCUCUUUCCAUCAGAUGUGCCCAGAUGGGAUUAGCUAGUAGGUGGGGUAACGGCUCACCUAGGCGACGAUCCCUAGCUGGUCUGAGAGGAUGACCAGCCACACUGGAACUGAGACACGGUCCAGACUCCUACGGGAGGCAGCAGUGGGGAAUAUUGCACAAUGGGCGCAAGCCUGAUGCAGCCAUGCCGCGUGUAUGAAGAAGGCCUUCGGGUUGUAAAGUACUUUCAGCGGGGAGGAAGGGAGUAAAGUUAAUACCUUUGCUCAUUGACGUUACCCGCAGAAGAAGCACCGGCUAACUCCGUG
rnacentral:rRNA from 1 species